GAAGUCCCACUUCUUCAGGGUCAUUCUACUCGCACAUUGACUCGGCUCCUCUCUCACGCCCAUGUUUAGGGGGCCGUGGUCAGCAUGGUGUCUUCCAUAGCCCCGGAACGGAAAUCGGGUUGGGCAGCAUGACCAACCGCUGAAGCACGGCAGGAGGAAUGACUAGAUGGGAUUUAAGGAUAGCUCCUGGGACCGCGGCAUCACAGGAAUGUCAAGAUCACACUUCAAGGGAGAGAAAGACCGUUGUGAGGGCUCUCAGGAGCAAGCGCCUAUACUCUCUUGGCAACUUUCAUCGAUGUCCGGUGUCCACGCCCCUUCUAGUUUUGAGCAUCGCUGUCUACUCGUCCUUGAGAGCGUCAGCAAGAAGGAAAUUACUCUGCCAUUUGCAACCACCCCUCAUCCCAAUCUUAUCAUACUUAUCCUAGACUGAGUCUUCCAGGACCAGAUCUGUGUCUGAUUCACCUCUGUGUUCCCAAAGUUGAGUGAGUACCAGCUGGUACAAGAGUGGUUUCCU